rnacentral:rRNA from 1 species
AGAGUGAACGCUGGCGGUAGGCCUAAUACAUGCAAGUCGAGCGGCCACUUCGGUGGCAGCGGCGGACGGGUGAGUAACGCGUGGGAAUGUGCCCUUUGGUACGGAACAACUGAGGGAAACUUCAGCUAAUACCGUAUGUGCCCUUCGGGGGAAAGAUUUAUUGCCAUUGGAGCAGCCCGCGUUGGAUUAGCUAGUUGGUGGGGUAAAGGCCCACCAAGGCGACGAUCCAUAGCUGGUCUGAGAGGAUGAUCAGCCACACUGGGACUGAGACACGGCCCAGACUCUUACGGGAGGCAGCAGUAGGGAAUCUUGCGCAAUGGGCGAAAGCCUGACGCAGCCAUGCCGCGUGAAUGAUGAAGGUCUUAGGAUUGUAAAAUUCUUUCACCGGGAAGAUAAUGACGGUACCCGGAGAAGAAGCCCGGCUAACUUCGCGCCAGCAGCCGC